GAUGAAGAACGUAGUGAAAUGCGAUACGUAAUGUGAAUUGCAGAAUUCAGUGAAUCAUCGAAUCUUUGAACACAUAUUGCGCUCUUUGGUAUUCCGAAGAGCAUGCUUGUUUGAGUAUCAGUAAACACCUCAAAGCUUUUGGAUUUUUUAAUCGAAAAGCUUUGGACUUGAGCAAUCCCAACACCAAUCUUUUUGAGAUCGGUGGCGGGUUGCUUGAAAUGCAGGUGCAGCUGGACAUUCUCCUGAGCUAAAAGCAUAUUCAUUUAGUCCCGUCAAACGGAUUAUUACUUUUGCUGCAGCUAGCAUAAAGGGAGUUUGACCGUAUUGGCUGACUGAUGCAGGAUUUCACAAGGGUCGGCAACGAUUCUUGUUAAACUCGAUCUCAAAUCAAGUAAGACUACCCGCUGAACUUAAGCAUAUCAAUAAGCGGAGGA
rnacentral:misc_RNA from 1 species